rnacentral:rRNA from 1 species
UACGGAGGGUGCAAGCGUUAAUCGGAAUUACUGGGCGUAAAGCGUGCGCAGGCGGUUUGUUAAGUCUGUUGUGAAAUCCCCGAGCUCAACUUGGGAAUUGCAAUGGAUACUGGCAGGCUGGAGUAUGGUAGAGGAAGGUGGAAUUCCACGUGUAGCGGUGAAAUGCGUAGAGAUGUGGAGGAACACCAGUGGCGAAGGCGGCUUUCUGGUCAGUAACUGACGCUGAGGCGCGAAAGCGUGGGGAGCAAACAGG